GACGAACGCUGGCGGCGUGCCUAAUACAUGCAAGUCGAGCGAAGUUGAGAGAGCUUGCUCUCGAGACUUAGCGGCGAACGGGUGAGUAACACGUGGGCAACCUGCCUGAUCGACCGGGAUAACUUGGGGAAACUCAAGCUAAUACCGGAUAGGAUCUUCGGUCGCAUGACCGGAGAUGGAAAGUCUGAACGACACGAUCAGAUGGGCCCGCGGCGCAUUAGCUAGUUGGUGGGGUAACGGCCUACCAAGGCGACGAUGCGUAGCCGACCUGAGAGGGUGACCGGCCACACUGGGACUGAGACACGGCCCAGACUCCUACGGGAGGCAGCAGUAGGGAAUCUUCCACAAUGGGCGAAAGCCUGAUGGAGCAACGCCGCGUGAGUGAUGAAGGUUUUCGGAUCGUAAAACUCUGUUGUUAGGGAAGAACACCCGAGAGAGGAUCUCGGACUGACGGUACCUAACGAGAAAGCCCCGGCUAACUACGUGCCAGCCGCCGCUGUAAGAC
rnacentral:rRNA from 1 species